GAUGAACGCUGGCGGCGUGCCUAAUACAUGCAAGUCGAGCGAACGGACGAGAAGCUUGCUUCUCUGAUGUUAGCGGCGGACGGGUGAGUAACACGUGGAUAACCUACCUAUAAGACUGGGAUAACUUCGGGAAACCGUAGCUAAUACCGGAUAAUAUUUUGAACCGCAUGGUUCAAAAGUGAAAGACGGUCUUGCUGUCACUUAUAGAUGGAUCCGCGCUGCAUUAGCUAGUUGGUAAGGUAACGGCUUACCAAGGCAACGAUGCAUAGCCGACCUGAGAGGGUGAUCGGCCACACUGGAACUGAGACACGGUCCAGACGCCUACGGGAGGCAGCAGUAGGGAAUCUUCCGCAAUGGGCGAAAGCCUGACGGAGCAACGCCGCGUGAGUGAUGAAGGUCUUCGGAUCGUAAAACUCUGUUAUUAGGGAAGAACAUAUGUGUAAGUAACUGUGCACAUCUUGACGGUACCUAAUCAGAAAGCCACGGCUAACUACGU
rnacentral:rRNA from 1 species